rnacentral:rRNA from 1 species
UACAGAGGUCCCGAGCGUUGUUCGGAUUCACUGGGCGUAAAGGGUGCGCAGGUGGCCUAAAAAGUUUGAUGUGAAAGCUCAGGGCUUAACCCUGAAAUGGCAUUGAAUACUGUUGGGCUGGAGGUUUGGAGGGGGGACUGGAAUUCUUGGUGUAGCAGUGAAAUGCGCAGAUAUCAGGAGGAACACCGGUGGCGAAGGCGGGUCUCUGGGCCGAUAUUGACGCUGAGGAGCGAAAGCGUGGGGAGCGAACAGG